ensembl:lincRNA
AUGGGCUUAAAAUGCCUUAUUUUAUUGGUGCCUUCUUUCAUCAUGCCUUUUAAAUCAAAGGGUUACUGGUAUAUGCUUUUAGAAGAAUUCUGUCAGUAUUACCGAACUGUUGUUCCCAUACCAGUUUGGUUUCGUUACCUUAUAAGCCAUGGGGCGUUGGGUAUUAUGACUAGAUGGAGUCUUGGGAUAUUGCCAGCUUUACUCUGCCUCUUACUAAAACUUUUGGACUUUUUUGGACAUUUGAGAACUUUCAAACAGGUUUUAUGUAUGUUUUUUACACGACCAACUUACGGGGUAGCUGCCAGCAAGAGAUGGUGUUCGGAUGCGGAGGAUAUUUGUUCAAUAUGUCAAGCUGAAUUUCAGAAGCCAGUUCUACUCGCCUGCCAGCAUGUAUUUUGUGAACAUUAGCUGGGUGUGGUGACACAGGCCUGCAAUCCCAGCUCUUGGGAGGCUGAGGCAGGAGGAUCGCUGUGAGUUCGAGACCAGCCUGGGCUACAUAGUGAGUUCCAGAGCAGUCUCACUACAUAGUGAGACCCUGCCUCAAAAAAAAANNNNNNNNNNNNNNNNNNNNNNNNNNNNNNNUAAAUAUAAAUGAACCACAGACAAAAAAAAAAAAAAAAAAAAAAAAAAAUCAUACACCCCGACCAAGCUGGAUUCAUCCCAAGGAUGCAGGAAUGGUUCAACAUAGGCAAAUCAAUAAAUAGAAUACACCAUAUUGACAGAGCCAAGGACAAAAAGGGGUCGCGGAGGAUGAACAUGACCGAGUUAGGGCACCCAGUGCCGGAGAAGCUUCAGGCACAGACGUGGGAGGUGGGACGCAGGAGAAGGUGCUUGUGUCUGCUGUCAGCGAGUUUCCCCAGAAUGUCAGCUGGAAAUGUCAGAGGUAAAAUCUGCGGGCUCAGAUGAAGUCAGGGCAGCGGAAGAACCUCGAAAGGUCGCACAAGGCAAACGGAUGCUCAGUGUUUUCGUGGCAACUUUGGUUGGUUCAACCGGUGCGAUUCCUGCAUUUUUGUGGAGGGUGGAGGGUACGAUGACUUUGCUAAAUGCCGCAAUAAGGCAACAGCGUCCUGGAGAGCAGUCUGUUUGUGCGCUGGAAGAAACUCGAGUUACGAAGCCUACGAAGGGGACGAAGGGUUCUGGGGAUCAGGAUGACUCUCCUUGACUUCAGCUUGUGCCGGUCUUUGCCAUCCGUCCCACGGGGCCCUUCAAAUGCCUUUGCCGCACUACAUCACCAUUCUCCCUUCUCUGUGCCUCAGCCAUCCUCUAGCCUCUGUCCCCACAUGCAUCCUUCCACGAGUUGUUGAACAUCAUGCCGGGCGUGGUGGUGCACACCUGUGAUCCCAGCACUCCUGGGGCUGAGGCAGGAGGAUCCCUGCAGGUUCAAGGUCAGCCCGAUCUACAUAGCAAGACCCUGUGUAAAAAAAAAAAAAAGCAAAAAGUACCCAUCUUUUAAUGAUUCUAUCUACUUUCGAGGAACAUAGGAACAUAGGGGACAUGAGAAAACACAGGCCCAACUGCAAAGGGUGAAAUAAUUAUUGGCCAAAUAAUUAUCGGCAAAUGACAGCUUGCAAACCUCCAACCCUCUAGAGAGACAAGUCCCACACAGCCGAUUUCCUUCAUGUGGCCAAUGGUAACAUCUACAUCCACUAGGAACCAGCACUCGGGAGGCUGAGGCAGGAGGAUUGCUGUGAGUUCGAGACCAGCCUGGGCUACAUAGUGAGUUCCAGUUCAGUCUCAACAACACAGUGAGACCGUCUCAAAAAAAAAAAAAAAAAAAGAGCCAGCCAUUGAGUAGAAAAAUACGAUGGGGGUGAUUAGACAGGGUCUUACUAUGUAGCUCAGACCAGGCUUGAACUCACUUUGUGGCCUCGACUGGCUCCCUGCCUCAGCUUCCCAAGUGCUAUGAUUCCAUGUGAGCACCACCAUGCCCAGCUGAGAAAUACGAUUUUAAAAAAGCAUACCUUACGCUGGGCACAGUGGCACCUGUCUGUACCCCAGCUACUUGAGAGGCUGAGGGAGGAUUACCUUAAAACAAUUAAUCCCCAAAACAGCUCCCCUCAAAAUAAAAAUAUAUAUAUAUAUACUGUUGUUGUUGUUUGUUUUGCUGCUUAUCCCUCCAGGAAAAAUUGGUCCUAAGGACUGGAAGCUGCUGCCGGGGAUGCCGGGAGAUGUCCCUCAGGCUGUCAGGCACCUGGGGAGAGGCCUAGGUUUGCACCUAAGACUAGCUAUUAUCAUUGGUUUCCCAUUUUUCUCAACCAUCAUGGUCACACCCCUGGCAGAGUCUCAGGAACUCAAGCCUUUGUGAGCCUUCUUGCUUUAUCCCCAGGUUGAGCAAAUGAAGGAAAGCAAUUAGGUCCACACUUUCCCAGUCUCCAGCCCCACCUCUCCGCCCACAGGGCUCAAGGCGGGGACUGGAAUCCUCCCUCAUUUGCAUAAAGUCAAGGUUUCCUUAAGGCAAGGUGCUAGAUCAGAGAGGACUGCACUGAAGUCUUCCACUGCUGAGUACCCAGGGCAAGAGCCCCUCGUAGCAAGAGUCACACUGUCUGAUGUCUGUGUGUACUACACUCUGAUGAUUAAAUAAACAAAGCAAUACAUGAACGGUAAAUUCACAGAUACACACAUUUAACAAUGUUUACCAUUUAAAUGCUGGGACUGUCAUUUUAAGCAUUAUUUUCCUUAAGAUUUAGUCCAUAAACAAGGUGUGGUCAUACAUGCAGAAAAUCUCAGUACUCUGGAAAGCUGAGGCAGGAGGAUAGCAAGAAUAAACCCAGCCUGGGCAAUGUAGUGACUUGGCAAAACCCUAUCUCAAAAUAAAAAAGAAACAAGAGCUGCAGAUGUGGCUCAGUGUGGAGGGCCUGGGUUCAAUCCCCAGUACCACACACACACACACACACACACACACACACACACACACACACAAUUAGCCCAUGGAAGAGAGGAUGUUGUUCCGUGCAGGUGGCCUGCAUAGCAUGCAUGGGGCACUGCAUUGAAUUCCAGGACCCCAAGUCCUGAAAAAAGAAAAGAAAAAGAUUUAGCCCACAGAUGCCCAUGUUUCAUUGUUACAUACCGUGUCGCACAGCAAAGGUGCCCACCUGCUAUGUAGAUGCCUUGGGGACCACCAAGUCAGAGCCAUUUUUAUAGUAUCCCUGUUAUCACUAAUACAUUAUUUCAUUGUUUUAUUAACUAGCAGUACAGGGUCUUUGCAUAGUAAAAAAAAAAUAUACAUAUAUAUAACAAUUG